CAGAACUUCUGAUUUCUUACAGUGGUCUGCAGGGCACUGCUGUCUUCAUGUCACUUGAACACAAAGCUGAUGGAAAGGGGAAUGCCUAAAGAUCAAAAGCCAAAUCUUUGGUGUUUGUGAGGAAAAAAAAUGCCCAGCAGCCGUCCUGCAGCACAUCAGUGCUUUGUCUGACUGCGGUGUGAAGGUGUUGCUCGGGACCAGGGACACUUGGACUGGUUGGUAAGGCUGUGAUUUCUUUCUACUUUCAUUUAUACAGAGGGAAGAAGCCAUUUCUGCUUAGCUACAGAGAACUGGACUCCUGUAUUGGUUUGUGAUAGUCAAAAUAAUGAGAGAAUCACAGAAUCCCUACAGUUGGAGAAGCACUCUGAGGUCCCCAGGUCCAAUCCCACACAGCCCCACUGUGCCCACUGACUUUGUCCCC
rnacentral:lncRNA from 1 species